GACGAACGCUGGCGGCGUGCCUAAUACAUGCAAGUCGAGCGGACAGAUGGGAGCUUGCUCCCUGAAGUCAGCGGCGGACGGGUGAGUAUCACGUGGGCAACCUGCCUGUAAGACUGGGAUAACUUCGGGAAACCGGAGCUAAUACCGGAUACGUUCUUUUCUCGCAUGAGAGAAGAUGGAAAGGUGGUUUCGGCUAUCACUUACAGAUGGGCCCGCGGCGCAUUAGCUAGUUGGUGAGGUAAUGGCUCAACAAGGCGACGAUGCGUAGCCGACCUGAGAGGGUGAUCGGCCACACUGGGAAUGAGACACGGCCCAGACUCCUACGGGAGGCAGCAGUAGGGAAUCUUCCGCAAUGGACGAAAGUCUGACGGAGCAACGCCGCGUGAACGAUGAAGGCCUUCGGGUCGUAAAGUUCUGUUGUUAGGGAAGAACAAGUACCAGAGUAACUGCUGGUACCUUGACGGUACCUAACCAGAAAGCCACGGCUAACUACGUGCCAGCAGCCGCCGCAGUAA
rnacentral:rRNA from 1 species